rnacentral:sRNA from 1 species
CGCUAUACUAGCUGCGAAUUCGCCGGUCCAGUGCCUUCGGGCCGGUUUUUAGUGUAU